GGACGUCCCUAUUCGGAUUGCAGGCUGAAACUCGCCUGCAUGAAGCUGGAAUUGCUAGUAAUCAUAGGUCAGCAUACUAUGGUGAAUACGUUCCCGGGCCUUGUACACACCGCCCGUCACACCAUGAGAGUUGAGAAUACCCGAAGUCCAUGUCAAAGUGGCCGAAGGUAGGCUUGAUGAUUGGGGUGAAGUCGUAACAAGGUAGC
rnacentral:rRNA from 1 species